UACGUAGGGACCAAGCGUUGUCCGGAAUCAUUGGGCGUAAAGAGCGUGUAGGCGGCUUGUUAAGUCUUGCGUGAAAUCUCGGGGCUCAACCCGGAAACUGCCAUUGAUACUAUUAGUCUUGAAUUCUGUUGAGGUGGGCGGAAUACAUCAUGUAGCGGUGAAAUGCUUAGAUAUGAUGUAGAACACCGAUUGCGAAGGCAGCUCACUAAGCAGCGAUUGACGCUGAGGCACGAAAGCGUGGGGAUCAAACAGG
rnacentral:rRNA from 1 species